GACGAACGCUGGCGGCGUGCUUAACACAUGCAAGUCGAGCGGUAAGGCCCUUUCGGGGGUACGACGAGCGGCGAACGGGUGAGUAACACGUGGGUGACCUGCCCUUAGCUCUGGGAUAAGCCUGGGAAACUGGGUCUAAUACCGGAUAUGACUCCAUGACGCAUGUUGUGGGGUGGAAAGCCUUGUGCGGCUAGGGAUGGGCCCGCGGCCUAUCAGCUUGUUGGUGGGUGAUGGCCUACCAAGGCGACGACGGGUAGCCGGCCUGAGAGGGCGACCGGCCACACUGGGACUGAGACACGGCCCAGACUCCUACGGGAGGCAGCAGUGGGAAUCUUGCGCAAUGGCGAAAGCCUGACGCAGCGACGCCGCGUGAGGGAUGACGGCCUCGGU
rnacentral:rRNA from 1 species